AAUCAACGCUGGCGGCGUGCCUAACACAUGCAAGUCGAACGAGAAAGUGGAGCAAUCCAUGAGUAAAGUGGCGCACGGGUGAGUAACACGUGACUAACCUACCCUAGAGUGGGGGAUAACUGAGGGAAACCUUAGCUAAUACCGCAUAAUACCUACGGGUCAAAGGAGCAAUUCGCUUUGGGAGGGGGUCGCGGCCGAUUAGUUAGUUGGCGGGGUAAUGGCCCACCAAGACAGUGAUCGGUAUCCGGCCUGAGAGGGCGCACGGACACACUGGAACUGAAACACGGUCCAGACUCCUACGGGAGGCAGCAGUGGGGAAUUUUGCGCAAUGGGGGAAACCCUGACGCAGCAACGCCGCGUGGAGGAUGAAGUCCUUCGGGACGUAAACUCCUUUCGAUCGGGACGAUAAUGACGGUACCGGAAGAAGAAGCCCCGGCUAACUUCGUGCCAGCAGCCGCGGUAAUACGAGGGGGGCAAGCGUUGUUCGGAAUUAUUGGGCGUAAAGGGUGCGUAGGCGGUUUGGUAAGUCUGAUGUGAAAUCUAUGGGCUCAACUCAUAGACUGCAUCGGAAACUGCCG
rnacentral:rRNA from 1 species